rnacentral:rRNA from 1 species
AUGAUGAGUACCGAGUCCAGGAACAGGAGCGACAUCGACCCGGAGAACGUCAUCGUCGUCACACUCGACGAUCUAUCAGAAGAUGAUCGCCAGGAGCUUGAAAAAGAGCUUAAGAAAGAGAUGGCCGAGCGACUAAAAUUGAAGUUGACUGGAUACUGCAAGACAAGGAUCGGCAUCGUCAAGAAGGUGCAAUCGGCCAUUAAUGAAGGACGAUUGAUGUUUACAGAAACUUCUAAGAUGAAGCUCGAUACUGACGCUUUUCCUAUCAAUGUGGUCGAGCUUGAGAGUAAGAAAAUGCUUAUUCGGUCGGAUCAGACCGAAUCCGCAAGAGAGAGAAAUGUUGUUUAUGAUAAUGCUUCUCCAAGGAUGAUCAAACGAAAAAAUCCAGAAGUAGGAGUGCGGAAAGUCAAUGGGAGAAGGAAACAAGCUCCAAGACCAAAGUCGUCAGUUAGCAUGUUGUUGGGAAAAUACACCUCGCACAAGGCCAGCAAUGUGUUUAACCGGCUUGGAGGGAAUAUGCAUCCUAGAUCUCCUUCUGGACCUGGCGGUUGCGAGAAAUGGCAAAGAAAUUUAUGA